rnacentral:rRNA from 1 species
CCCUUAGAUGUUCUGGGCCGCACGCGCGCUACACUGUUCGACGCAGCGAAUCUUAACCUUGACCGAAAGGUUUGGGUAAUCUUCAGCAAAGUCGAACGUGAUGGGGAUCGAUCAUUGCAAUUAUUGAUCGUGAACGAGGAAUUCCUAGUAAGUGCAAGUCAUCAGCUUGCGCUGAUUACGUCCCUGCCCUUUGUACACACCGCCCGUCGCUACUACCGAUUGAAUGGUUUAGUGAGAUCUCUGGAUUGACGCUGGCUAGGGGGCGACCCUUGGCCAGACUGUUGAGAAACUGCUCAAACUUGAUCAUUUAGAGGAAGUAAAAGUCGUAACA